UACGGAGGGUGCGAGCGUUAUCCGGAUUCACUGGGUUUAAAGGGUCCGUAGGCGGUUUGGUAAGUCAGUGGUGAAAGCCCAUCGCUCAACGGUGGAACGGCCAUUGAUACUGCCAGACUUGAAUUAUUAGGAAGUAACUAGAAUAUGUAGUGUAGCGGUGAAAUGCUUAGAGAUUACAUGGAAUACCAAUUGCGAAGGCAGGUUACUACUAAUGGAUUGACGCUGAUGGACGAAAGCGUGGGGAGCGAACAGG
rnacentral:rRNA from 1 species